rnacentral:rRNA from 1 species
CACCGGAGAUCCUGCCAGUAGCCAUAUGCGUAUCUCAAAGAUUAAGUCAUUCACCUGUUAUUUUAUACCGACUCAGUAAAACUCUGAAUGGCUCUUUAUAACAGUUAUGGUUCCUUUAAUCGUCACAUCCUACAUGGAUAACUGUGGUAAUCCUAGAGCUAAUACAUGCAAUGCGGAAGAAGCCGACCUCACGAUCUGGCGUGCAUUUAUCAGACCAAGACCAACCCGGGGUUCGCCCCGGUCGCUUUUGGUGACUCUGGUUAACCCAGCCGAUUGCACGGUCUUCGCACCGGCAAAAGAUCAUGUGAAUGUCUGCCCUAUCAACUUUUGAUGGUAUGUUCUGUGUCCACAAUGGUGGGAACGGGUGACGGGGAAUCAGGGUUCGGUUCCGGAGAGGGAGCCUGAGAAACGGCUACCACAUCCGAGGAAGGCAGCAGGUGCGCAAUUUACCCCUUCCGACUCGCGGAGGUAGUGACGAAAAAUAACAAUACGAAUGACAACUAAGAUAACAAUUUGAGAUCCCGUAAUUGGAAUGGGUACACUUUGAAUCCUUUAACGAGGAUCUAUUGGAGGGCAAGUCUGGUGCCAGCAGCCGCGGUAAUCCUAGCUCCAAUAGCGUAUAUUAAAGUUAUUGCGGUUAAAAAGCUCGUAGUUGGAUCUUGGGACCGGGCUUGCGGUCCGCCGCGAGGCAUGUCACUGCUCGUCCCGGCCCUCCCCGCCGGAUUCUCCCUAGUGCUCUAAACUGAGUGCCUCGGGGUGUCGGUGACUUUGUCCCGCGUUCGGCUGCUUAUCGUAUUCCCGCAAAGUCUUGUUUGUCUACAGUAGUAGACCAAGCCAUGCAUUAUUAGGCGACAGAGCGGGGUGUCCAACGAGUCCUGCGGUCCCACUGGAAUAAACGGGGUAGGGGCUCCGUUGACUGCGGUGGCAGGCAGCUAGCGAGUGCGUCUUGAGCCGGCAGCACACGGAUAAGUCCACGGCGAGAAAAAAGUUCUGAUUGUGGGGUAACUCUUCCCCGUCGCUCGGUUUAACGCGGGUUGCAAACAAGGCGCCGGCUGUCUGACAGUGGCAGAAGUUUACCAGGCGGCCGUUGCAGGUAAAGGCGCGGUCACAUUUCCCAACCCGGGCCAAGCCGGACAGCCGUUUGGAACGAAAAUUAUAAGACAGCAAAACACACACAAAAACGUUUUAGAAAAUUAACCAUGAGCACUAUUUGUGUAUACUCCUAAUACAAAUUGUUAAUUUUUCGUUCACGCAAACAAUCCGGCAAGGCCGCGGCUUGGAAAU